GUCCCGCCUACCAGAUCUCCUCAUCGCUUCAUUCGCUAGCGUCAAAAUUGGUGAGCUGCGUGGAGGAGAGAGGGAGGUGAAAGGUCAUUUCCCAAGGGGCUUUGCCCCUCGCCCCCGGUUCUGGGCGGCGAUCGCGGUGGCCCGGGCUGCGUGAAGGUUUGGGCUGCCCUUUUAAUCUUGCGGAUAGAGUGAGUUGGUUCAGCAGUAUCUCAGGGAAAAGGGCUUUGUUCCCUCAAGUCGUAAAAGAGCAGAAGUAAAAGCAGAAAAAGGAUGGUGCCUGGCGCGCUUCCAGGUCCUGGCAUAUGGGGCGGGGGAAGGAAGGGGGUGACUUGACGUGGAGAAGCUGGUGACAGGCUUCUUGCGGUCGGGAGAGGGGCGUGAACGCACUGGAGACGGAGCCCGCAGGUCCGCGCUGUGAGCCUUGGCCGCCUCACCGCUCUGCUCUACCGAAGAGCUGGAAAUCAGGAAAGACCUGUCAAAGCACACCCACUGCGCCAGAGCAAGAGAUCACAGAUUCCUUGUUAUCUUGUUCCCCGAAUGCCAUCUCCAUAUGCGGUGAGUGGUAGCUAUUAACUGUCCUGUACCCACCAACGUAAAAGAUGUGUGUGUCUCCCCAUUUACUUUUUAUCCAAUCCCAGAGAUUUCCCCACUUUGCUUUCUCCCAUCCCCUCAAUCUUAACACAAAUGGAUUUCAUGUAACCGUCCUUACACCUCCUUCUUUGAUCCUAAUGUAUAAAAUAGGCUGCAAACCUGCCAUUCUCCAGAGCAUUUUCUCAGUUCAUUGAGAUUUUGCUUCCUGGCGGUUGUCAUCGGUUUGGCUCAAAUAAACUCAUAAAAGUUCUCUAA